CGGGUCUAGUAUAAGCAAUUAUACAGCGAAACUGCGAAUGGCUCAUUAUAUAAGUUAUCGUUUAUUUGAUAGUACCUUACUACUUGGAUAACCGUGGUAAUUCUAGAGCUAAUACAUGCUAAAAAUCCCGACUUCGGAAGGGAUGUAUUUAUUAGAUUAAAAACCAAUGCCCUUUGGGCUCCUUGGUGAUUCAUAAUAACUUUUCGAAUCGCAUGGCCUUGCGCCGGCGAUGGUUCAUUCAAAUUUCUUCCCUAUCAACUUUCGAUGUUUGGGUAUUGGCCAAACAUGGUCGCAACGGGUAACGGAGGGUUAGGGCUCGACCCCGGAGAAGGAGCCUGAGAAACGGCUACUACAUCCAAGGAAGGCAGCAGGCGCGCAAAUUACCCAAUCCCGAUUCGGGGAGGUAGUGACAAUAAAUACUGAUACAGGGCUCUUUUGGGUCUUGUAAUUGGAAUGAGUACAAUUUAAAUCCCUUAACGAGGAACAAUUGGAGGGCAAGUCUGGUGCCAGCAGCCGCGGUAAUUCCAGCUCCAAUAGCGUAUAUUAAAGUUGUUGUGGUUAAAAAGCUCGUAGUUGAACCUUGGGCCUGGCUGGCCGGUCCGCCUCACCGCGUGUACUGGUCCGGCCGGGCCUUUCCCUCUGUGGAACCUCAUGCCCUUCACUGGGUGUGGCGGGGAAACAGGACUUUUACUUUGAAAAAAUUAGAGUGCUCCAGGCAGGCCUAUGCUCGAAUACAUUAGCAUGGAAUAAUAAAAUAGGACGUGUGGUUCUAUUUUGUUGGUUUCUAGGACCGCCGUAAUGAUUAAUAGGGACAGUCGGGGGCAUCAGUAUUCAAUUGUCAGAGGUGAAAUUCUUGGAUUUAUUGAAGACUAACUACUGCGAAAGCAUUUGCCAAGGAUGUUUUCAUUAAUCAGGAACGAAAGUUAGGGGAUCGAAGACGAUCAGAUACCGUCGUAGUCUUAACCAUAAACUAUGCCGACUAGGGAUCGGACGAUGUUAUUUUUUGACGCGUUCGGCACCUUACGAGAAAUCAAAGUGCUGGGCUCCAGGGGGACAUUUUAC
rnacentral:rRNA from 1 species